CCUAUGUGGCGCUGCAGUGGGGAAUAUUGGACAAUGGGCGAAAGCCUGAUCCAGCCAUGCCGCGUGUGUGAAGAAGGCCUUCGGGUUGUAAAGCACUUUCAGUGGGGAAGAAAGCCUUGGGGCUAAUACCCUCGAGGAAGGACAUCACCCACAGAAGAAGCACCGGCUAACUCCGUGCCAGCAGCCGCGGUAAUACGGAGGGUGCGAGCGUUAAUCGGAAUUACUGGGCGUAAAGCGCGCGUAGGCGGUCUGAUAAGCCGGUUGUGAAAGCCCCGGGCUCAACCUGGGAACGGCAUCCGGAACUGUCAGGCUAGAGUGCAGGAGAGGAAGGUAGAAUUCCCGGUGUAGUGGUGAAAUGCGUAGAGAUCGGGAGGAAUACCAGUGGCGAAGGCGGCCUUCUGGACUGACACUGACGCUGAGGUGCGAAAGCGUGGGUAGCAAACAGGAUUAGAUACCCGUGUAGUC
rnacentral:rRNA from 1 species